rnacentral:rRNA from 1 species
UACAGAGGGGGCAAGCGUUGUUCGGAAUUACUGGGCGUAAAGGGCGCGUAGGCGGCCUGCUAAGUCGAACGUGAAAUCCCCGAGCUCAACCCGGGAACUGCAUCCGAAACCAUCUCGCUAGAGUAUGAGAGAGGGAAGCGGAAUUCCUGGUGUAGAGGUGAAAUUCGUAGAUAUCAGGAGGAACAUCUGCGGCGAAGGCGGCUUCCUGGCUCAUUACUGACGUUCAGGUACGAAAGCGUGGGUAGCAAACAGG